AGUGAACGCUGGCGGUAGGCCUAACACAUGCAAGUCGAACGGCAGCACAGGAGAGCUUGCUCUCUGGGUGGCGAGUGGCGGACGGGUGAGGAAUACAUCGGAAUCUACUCCGUCGUGGGGGAUAACGUAGGGAAACUUACGCUAAUACCGCAUACGACCUACGGGUGAAAGCAGGGGACCUUCGGGCCUUGCGCGAUUGAAUGAGCCGAUGUCGGAUUAGCUAGUUGGCGGGGUAAGGGCCCACCAAGGCGACGAUCCGUAGCUGGUCUGAGAGGAUGAUCAGCCACACUGGAACUGAGACACGGUCCAGACUCCUACGGGAGGCAGCAGUGGGGAGUAUUGGACAAUGGGCGCAAGCCUGAUCCAGCCAUACCGCGUGGGUGAAGAAGGCCUUCGGGUUGUAAAGCCCUUUUGUUGGGAAAGAAAUCCAGCUGGCUAAUACCCGGUUGGGAUGACGGUACCCAAAGAAUAAGCACCGGCUAACUUCGUGCCAGCAGCCGCAUAA
rnacentral:rRNA from 1 species